rnacentral:sRNA from 1 species
GAUUGGGUGAGAUUUUGAGAGUCUCAUUUCCUCUCUUUUGUUUUUCACGUUAGUUCCCUUCUCCCCUCCCUUUCUUCUUUGUUUUUUUUGAAACCCAAGACUUGGGAAAGAAGAGAAACCAAUGCUCCGAGAGAGUAAGGAAAAUGGAGAAAUUAUGAGAGCAAUGUGCAGUUUCAAACAGUAAUAGAGAAGAAGAAUCCGAGGUUGGGGAAUUGAUUUCUAGGGUUCGGGAGUUUAAUUUGGGGUAAUGGAGAGAGCCUAUAAAUAGGACGAUCAAGAGAGGUUUAGAGAUAAACUAAGGCAAGUGAUUGUAGAAACUAAAGAGUAAACAAAGGUGCGAGUGCAAGCUAGGAAGCAUUCCGGGUUGAGUGCGAGACGCGUGAGCUUGCGGAGUUUGGAGGAAACGUUUUGCGGAGAGGGCGAACACAUUUUACAGUGUUUCUGCGGAAUUGGACCGGGGAAGAUUCCAGCCGUCUCCGUCCUGAAACACUCCUCCUCCGUUGAUGCUCCUUCUUUCUUCCUCUGCGGUCGGUCUCAAUGUAAAGGGGGGUGGACCUGCAAUAAACACUCCGACACUCAAGUCAGAAUGGGUUUUUCUCCAUAUAUCAUUAUAUCAUAGAUCUCUUACCUGAUCCUGGGAUCAUUUAUUUAUAUGAUUUUUAGAUUAGAUUUUCUAAUCAUUCCUCAAUGUCAAAUCAAUCUUUUGGAG